CCUACGGGUGGCUGCAGUGGGGAAUAUUGGACAAUGGGGGCAACCCUGAUCCAGCCAUGCCGCGUGUGUGAAGAAGGCCCUCGGGUUGUAAAGCACUUUCAGUGAGGAAGAACGCCUGGUGGUUAAUACCCAUCAGGAAAGACAUCACUCACAGAAGAAGCACCGGCUAACUCCGUGCCAGCAGCCGCGGUAAUACGGAGGGUGCGAGCGUUAAUCGGAAUUACUGGGCGUAAAGCGCGCGUAGGUGGCUUGAUAAGCCGGUUGUGAAAGCCCCGGGCUCAACCUGGGAACGGCAUCCGGAACUGUCAAGCUAGAGUGCAGGAGAGGUAGGUAGAAUUCCCGGUGUAGCGGUGAAAUGCGUAGAGAUCGGGAGGAAUACCAGUGGCGAAGGCGGCCUUCUGGACUGACACUGACACUGAGGUGCGAAAGCGUGGGUAGCAAACAGGAUUAGAUACCCCAGUAGUC
rnacentral:rRNA from 1 species